rnacentral:tRNA from 1 species
UCCCUGGUGGCUCAGACGGUAAAGCAUCUGCCUACAAUGUAGGAGACCCAGGUUCGAUCCCUGGGUCGGGAA